AUAACUGGUAAAUUGUACUCCAGCAGAGCAAAGGAACAUGACAUUGGUCUGGUGACCAUUUAUUUUAAGUAAAACUCCAGCAGAGCAAAGGGACAUCUAAAAUUCAUUUUUCAUGUUGGAAGAUGUUCGUCGUCGAUCGACACCUUAGCAAAGGAUCCGCCUCCUUNNNNNNNNUUGGAAGAUGUUCGUCGUCGAUCGACACCUUAGCAAAGGAUCCGUCUCCUUAGCUAGUUCCAACCGUCCGGCGGCGCCCGGCUGCCACCACCUCGUCCCCCACGGCCACGAGAAGCUGGAACAGAACGAAGGCAGAAAAAUGUUGAGUUCAGCAUGGAUCGCACCUGCAUUUGAGCAAAGGACAGACAUGACGGAUGAAGUAGUGGUGUGGUUAAUUACCUGCAAGGAUGUCAGCGCGGGCUCUUGUCGCGUCCCCCUGAAUCCUAACCAUCCUAUUUCGGCGCCACAAUAUGGCCUCAUUUCUCGUCGCCGCCGCCGCCGCCGCCGCUCGGUUGUCGUCGCCUG
rnacentral:lncRNA from 1 species